rnacentral:lncRNA from 1 species
AAGUGGGAUUGGUGCCUUAUCAGAAACAGAAAGGUGCGACACAGAAAUUAUUAAAGAAAAUCCUGUUUGACGUUCCUCGGAUGCAUGUCAAUGGCUUGCCUGAGUCCCCAGAAGACAGCAGCAAUAGAGUUGGAGUUUGGAGACCAGAGGCAGAUGACGUUGGUGCAAAUCAUGCAUUAGUAGAGAGAAAACGAAGAGAAAAGCUAAACGAAAGAUUUAUGAUUCUCAAAUCAAUUGUUCCUUCAAUUAACAAGGCAAGUGAAAGUUAAAACUCUGUUCUUCAGAAUAAUCACAUAAACAGGAAGGCCGUCGCUUAAAUUUUGCAUUUUCUUGUGCAGGUUGAUAAAGUAUCUAUAUUAGAUGAGACAAUAGAAUACCUGCAAGAGCUGGAAAGAAGAGUUGAAGAGUUGGAAUCAUGCAAGGAGUUAACAGAGUUAGAGGCAAGAACUAGAAGAAAACCCCAAGAUGCUAUUGAGA